UCUCUGGUAGUAUAUCGGUUAGUACACGCGCCUGUCAAAAGAUAUCCCUGAAGAAAUUGAAUCGCGCGAAAGCUGGGUUCGACUCCCAGCCAGAGAG
rnacentral:tRNA from 1 species